AUGAACAUUCGUUCCACCCAACACCCAGGUCAAUGCACGCGAAUAUCCAGCAUUGUAGGAUCUACCACUGAGCGUCACUGGUGUAAUACUGACAAGCUGCGUAUCGAGCAAUCUUUGCAUCAGGACCUGUUGUGCUUUGUCAACAUACCUGGUUCAACGUCAUUCCUUUUUACAUCGUUCACACAGAAAAUAACUGCAAGAAAAUAUCAGACGGCCAUAAUUUAUGCCCCUCUCAGUAACGCUGGUUUCCUUUUAAAAGCAGCUCUACGGCAUUAUGCUGCUGCUGCUAAGUCGCAUUAUGAGGGACCAUUAAAGCAUGCUAUCUGCAGAUGACGUACUUCAGCUUACAUCUUCUUUUAUAGUUCAGUUCAUAAUAGGAAAGUCACUGCAGAAUGGUAAACUAAUGUCAAAAUCCCCUUUAUCUGGCAAGUGAAACAGGGUUAAAACCUUAUAUUACUAACCAAGUGGUUGCCAGAGGGGAGGGGGUAUAGAGAGCAGAGAAACAGGUGACGGAGAGGUACAAACUUACAGUUAUAAAAUAAGAGUCACUGGUAUGAAAUGAGUGGGGAAUAGGGUCAACAAUUAUGUAACACCUCUAUAGGAUGACAGAUGGUAACUAGACUUAUCGUGAUGAUCACUGUGAUAUGUACAGAAAUAUCAAAUCACCGUGCAGGGUACCAGAAACCAACACAGUGUUUUAGGUCAAUCAUACUUCAAAUCAAACAAAUUCACAGAAAAAGAGAUGAGAUCUGUGGUUAUCAGAGGUGGGGAUGGAGGAGGAGAAAUUGGAAGAAGGCAGUCGAAAACUUCAAGUUAAAAGUUGAAAACUUCAAGUUAACUUCAAGUGGAAUAAACGUCAAGUUAGAAGACAAAUAAAUACUAUGGAUGCAAUCUAUCCCAUGAUAAAGAGAAGUAAAACUGCCUUAGGCCACAUACGAAAGCUGCUAAGAGGAUAAAUCCUAAGGGUUUUCAUCACAAGGAAAAAAAAAUUUUUUUUCUAUUUAAUUGUGUGUCUGUAUGAGAUGAUGGAUGCUCAUUAAACAUUGUGGUAAUCAUUUCAUGAUGUAUGUAAAUCAUAUCACUAUCAUACUUUAAACUUAUACAGUGCUAUAUGUCAAUUGUAUCAAUAAAACUGGAAGGAAAAAAACAACCCUUAUUAUUACUGUUCACUGCUGCUUUAUUNNNNNNNNNNNNNNNNNNNNNNNNNNNNNNNNNNNNNNNNNNNNNNNNNNNNNNNNNNNNNNNNNNNNNNNNNNNNNNNNNNNNNNNNNNNNNNNNNNNAGACUAGAAGGAAAAAAACAACCCUUAUUAUUACUGUUCGCUGCUGCUUUAUUCUCCUGGGGAAGAAGCAUAACCCAUCCACUUUCCAUGCAGACACUGUUUCGAUGCAAGGCACGCACCAGAAUUCUUCACGCACAAGUUAGGCAUAGCUCCUAUCUUUCCAGUCAUCUGCCUAGAGCCCACACUGUCCCCAUACACAAUCCAGUUGGUCACAUUUCUUGUUGUCACUUCAAGACACUGUUGUGACAUCUAUAAACAAGUCAUAACUCUAACAUUUCCAAAACCAGCUGCAGACUUUCAUAGGUCAUGAGUUGCUGAGUUACUAGAAAGCAGGGCCACUGACUUUCUAACAUGCUACAACAAGGCAACUGGUGCUCAUGACAUAUUUCAUCUUUCUGGCAAAGAUAUUGAUCCUUUGGGUAUAGACAAACCUGUACAGGAACAAAUUUGUCUGGCUGAAAAAAAUCCUCUGGAAGCCUGGAGUGGUGAGGAGCCCUCGAGCUAAGCCUCGGGCUGGGGAUUCAUUCUCAGUUUGGCCCUUGACUUGCUCUGUCACCUGGAACAGGUGUUUCCCCUCUCAGGGGCUUGGUUUCCUACUCCACUAAAUGUGGACGUUGAACGUGAUUAGUGGAUCCCAAAGGGCUAAAGGCCCAGGGUGGACAAUGAUGAAGUGUGUGUUUUUAACAUUAACUCAAGUAUAAUACAGACAGAGAAGUGCAUUAUUUCACACAUGUACAGUUCUCUGGAUUUUCACAAACUCUGUGUGCCAUGAAACCAACACCCUUAAGAAGAAAGCAUGGCUUGCUCCCAAGCCCCGCAUAUUCCCUUCGAGUCACUAACCCCCAACCCAGGAUCACCGUAUCCUGACUCCUGGUCUCACAGAGCAGCCUCACUGUGUCCGUCCUGUCUCUGUAGGAUGCCUAUUAUUUUGUGCCUGGUUUCCUCUAUUUAGCACCAUCCAUGGUGCUCAGGAGCUUCCCUGGUGGCUCAGAAGGUAAAGCAUCCACCUGCAAAGCAGGAGACCCGGGUUCUAGCCCUGGGUUGGGAAGAUCCCCUUACUCCUGUCUAGAAUAUCCCAUGGACAGAGAAGCCCCAGGCUAUAGUCCAAGGGGUUGCAAAGAGCUGGACACGACUUCACUUUCACUUUCACAGUGGUCAGACAGUAAAGAAUCCACCUGCAAUGCAGGAGACCUGGGUUUGAUCCCUGGGUUGGGAAGAUCCCUUGGAGGAGGGAUUGGCAACCCACUCCAGUAUUCUGGCCUGGAGAAUUUCAUGCACAGAGGAGCCUAGCAGGCUACAGUCCACGGGUUCACAAACAGUUGGACACGGUUGAGCAACUUUCACUUUUACUUUCUUUCAUGGUGCAGUGUGUACUGAGGAUGUUUGCAACAAUAUAUUCCAAAAAAUGCGCACACACACACACACUGAAGGCAAUACUGUGAAUUUUACCAUGAGUUAAAAUGUGUUUAAGUGAAAUAUCCUUUAUGUUGAGAUAAUGCUCUUCUAUCUACUUUGUAAUAAAAUGUGCUGGGAGUUUAAAAAUAAAUCCUUAGAACUAGCUAUUUAAUUUCUACGAGAUUAAACAGAACAAGGUCUUCUAAAGAUAGCUGGGAAUGCUUCAUAGCUCAUCAGAGUCAGCUGCAAUGAGAAAAGUCCUUAUGAAGUUGUAGUGCCGCUUUUUGGGGAUAUAAAAAAAGAAACUGAAUGAUAGGUCACAGGAAGAAAACCUAGAGCUUGAAAAGGCUAUUUCAUUUAUGUAGUCACUUUUUUCCCCUUAUAAUCCACCUACUUCCAGAAGUAUUUUUAGUAGGUUAGUGGCAAACACUGAAGGGCAUAGAAUCAAUGGAUCUAUUUAACAAGGGGCAGAAAAGCAGUAAUGAUGGCAAAGAGGCAUGGGAGAACGCUUUGUGUGAAUAGAGACAUUGUAUAAUCUUGACUGAAGUGGUGAUUACAGGUGUAAACGUUUGUUAAGACUUGAAAAAGGUGCAUUUUGUAUUUCAUUAUAAAUAAACUAUACCUCAAUAAAACUGAAUUAUAAAGAAAAUCCAAACAAAACAAAUAAGUAGACGGUCAAGAACAAAAAGAUGAAAAGAUAUAUAACCAAGCAUAAAACUUAGCACUAAAUUUCCUAGAAGCCAAGACAAAAGAAAAAGAGUUUAGUUUUUCAAAGAUAACUUUCCCCUUCCCUAUAAUUGAACUCAGCCAAAUUCAUUGAGUAAAUUUUCAUAUGAGGGUCACUAAGACUGUCACUUUCAAUUACCAGACCACAACAGUUUUCUUUUUCUCUCCAGGUAUUUUAACUCAAGGGAUAUCAACUUGUUUGGAAGGUUGGAAGGUCUUAUUUGUGAAACUCCAUGAAUUUAUUUUAUUUUAUUUUAUUUUUAGGGGCAGAUUUAUU
ensembl:lncRNA